rnacentral:piRNA from 1 species
UAUUUUUCUAGUCGUUUCACUUGGAUCUAC